ACCUGGCUGGUUCAGUCAGUAGAGCAUGUGACUCUUGAUCUCACAGUCAUGAGUUUGGGCCCCACGUCAGGUA
rnacentral:tRNA from 1 species